rnacentral:snRNA from 1 species
GUGCUCGCUUCUGCAGCACAGAUAAUAAAAUUCGAACAAUACAGAGAAGAUUAGCAUGGUCCCUGCACAAGGAUGACACACAAAUUUGUGAAGUGUUUCGUAUUUUU